GGGGGGGGGGGGGGGGGGGGGGGGGGGGGGGGGGGGGGGGGGGGGGGGGGGGGGGGGGGGGGGGGGGGCGCUGCGGUGAUCGCUGCGAGGACAUGGCCAUGGAACAGUGACUGACCAACGGAGUGACCACUGCGGUGAUCGCUGCGCCUCCACGCCGCCAUGGAGGAGUGAGUGACCGGCGGAGUGACCGCUGCGGUGACCAAAGUGACCACCCCAGGACGUAGCCAUGGAACAGUGACUGACCAAUGGAGUGAGCGCUGCGGUGAUCGCUGCGAGGACAUGGCCAUGGAACAGUGACUGACCAACGGAGUGACCACUGCGGUGAUCGCUGCGCCUCCACGCCGCCAUGGAGGAGUGAGUGACCGGCGGAGUGACCGCUGCGGUGACCAAAGUGACCACCCCAGGACAUAGCCAUGGAACAGUGACUGACCAAUGGAGUGAGCGCUGCGGUGAUCGCUGCGAGGACAUGGCCAUGGAGCAGUGACUGACCAACGGAGUGACCACUGCGGUGAUCGCUGCGCCUCCACGCCGCCAUGGAGGAGUGAGUGACCGGCGGAGUGACCGCUGCGGUGACCAAAGUGACCACCCCAGGACAUAGCCAUGGAACAGUGACUGACCAAUGGAGUGAGCGCUGCGGUGAUCGCUGCGAGGACAUGGCCAUGGAGCAGUGACUGACCAACGGAGUGACCACUGCGGUGAUCGCUGCGCCUCCACGCCGCCAUGGAGGAGUGAGUGACCGGCGGAGUGACCGCUGCGGUGACCAAAGUGACCACCCCAGGACAUAGCCAUGGAACAGUGACUGACCAAUGGAGUGAGCGCUGCGGUGAUCGCUGCGAGGACAUGGCCAUGGAAUAGUGACUGACCAGCAGAGUGACCACUGCGGUGACCGCUGCGAGGACACGGCCAUGGAGGAGUGAGUGACCAAUGGAGUGAGCGCUGCAGUGACCACAGUGAGCACCCCAGGACACGGCCAUGGAGCAGUGACCAAUGGAGUGACCACUGUGGGGACGUUUUCACAGAGCAGUGGUCACUGCAGUGACCACUGCAUGGACACAGCCAUGGGUCAGUGACUGACCACUGGGACACCAAGGGGACAUUGCCACGGAGCAGUGACCACUGCAGUGGCACCACCGUGGCGCAGUGACCACUGUGGGGACACCAGGACAUGGCCAUGGCAAUCAGUGCAGUGACCGGCUGACCCCUGGGAUGACCAGUGCAGUGUCCAGCUGGCCCCUGGGAUGUCCAGCAUGACCAGUGCAGUGCCCAGCUGACCCUGGGGACCCCGUGGGUUUUGGGGGUCACCGUGGCAAUAAACUGGGGUGUGUCACUGUGUGUUCU
rnacentral:lncRNA from 12 species